rnacentral:rRNA from 1 species
UACGUAGGGAGCAAGCGUUGUCCGGAAUCAUUGGGCGUAAAGCGCGCGUAGGCGGCCCGGUAAGUCCGCUCUGAAAGUCCAGGGCUUAACCCUGGAAAGCGGGUGGAUACUGCCGGGCUAGAAUCCGGAAGAGGCGAGUGGAAUUCCUGGUGUAGCGGUGGAAUGCGCAGAUAUCAGGAGGAACACCAGCGGCGAAGGCGGCGCUCUGGGCCGGAACUGACGCUGAGGAGCGAAAGCGUGGGUAGCAAACAGG